AAUUGAAGAGUUUGAUCAUGGCUCAGAUUGAACGCUGGCGGCAGGCCUAACACAUGCAAGUCGAGCGGUAACAGAGAGAAGCUUGCUUCUUUGCUGACGAGCGGCGGACGGGUGAGUAAUACUUGGGAACUUGCCUCUAGGCGGGGGACAACCACUGGAAACGGUGGCUAAUACCGCAUAAUGUCUACGGACCAAAGUGGGGGACCUUCGGGCCUCACACCUAGAGAUGGGCCCAAGCGGGAUUAGCUAGUUGGUGAGGUAAAGGCUCACCAAGGCGACGAUCCCUAGCUGUUCUGAGAGGAUGAUCAGCCACACUGGGACUGAGACACGGCCCAGACUCCUAUGGAGGCAGCAGUGGGGAAUAUUGCACAAUGGCGCAAGCCUGAUGCAGCCAUGCCGCGUGUGUGAAG
rnacentral:rRNA from 1 species